rnacentral:misc_RNA from 1 species
AAAUGCGAUACGUAGUGUGCAUUGCAGAAUUCAGUGAAUCAUCGAAUCUUUGAACGCACAUUGCGCCCUUUGGUAUUCCAAAGGGCAUGCCUGUUCGAGCGUCAUUUGUACCCUCAAGCUUUGCUUGGUGUUGGGCGUUUUUUGUCUUUGGCUCGCCCAAAGACUCGCCUUAAAACGAUUGGCAGCCGGCCUACUGGUUUCGCAGCGCAGCACAUUUUUGCGCUUGCAAUCAGCAAAAGAGGACGGCAAUCCAUCAAGACUCCUUCUCACGUUUGACCUCGGAUCAGGUAGGGAUACCCGCUGAACUUAAGC